rnacentral:rRNA from 1 species
AUAUUGCACAAUGGGGGAAACCCUGAUGCAGCGACGCCGCGUGAGUGAAGAAGUAUUUCGGUAUGUAAAGCUCUAUCAGCAGGGAAGAAAAUGACGGUACCUGAGUAAGAAGCACCGGCUAACUACGUGCCAGCAGCCGCGGUAAUACGUAGGGGGCAAGCGUUAUCCGGAUUUACUGGGUGUAAAGGGAGCGUAGACGGUGAAGCAAGUCUGGAGUGAAAGCCCGGGGCUCAACCCCGGGACUGCUUUGGAAACUGUACGGCUGGAGUGCUGGAGAGGCAAGCGGAAUUCCUAGUGUAGCGGUGAAAUGCGUAGAUAUUAGGAGGAACACCAGUGGCGAAGGCGGCUUGCUGGACAGUAACUGACGUUGAGGCUCGAAAGCGUGGGGAGCAAACAG